rnacentral:tRNA from 1 species
GCGGGGGUAGCCAAGCGGUCAAAGGCGCAGGACUUAAGAUCCUGUGGCUUAGUGCCUUCGUGGGUUCGAACACCACUCUUUCCAGACGCUUUCGCAAGUCGCAAAGAGCGGUGGACCAGAAAGGUCCAUUUCGAAAAUCCCAUCCCCCGCA